AACGAACGCUGGCGGCAUGCCUAACACAUGCAAGUCGAACGAGACCUUCGGGUCUAGUGGCGCACGGGUGCGUAACGCGUGGGAACCUGCCCUUAGGUUCGGAAUAACUCCCCGAAAGGGGUGCUAAUACCGGAUAAUGUCUUCGGACCAAAGAUUUAUCGCCUUUGGAUGGGCCCGCGUUGGAUUAGCUAGUUGGUAGGGUAAAAGCCUACCAAGGCGACGAUCCAUAGCUGGUCUGAGAGGAUGAUCAGCCACACUGGGACUGAGACACGGCCCAGACUCCUACGGGAGGCAGCAGUGGGGAAUAUUGGACAAUGGGCGAAAGCCUGAUCCAGCAAUGCCGCGUGAGUAAUGAAGGCCUUAGGGUUGUAAAGCUCUUUUACCCGGGAUGAUAAUGACAGUACCGGGAGAAUAAGCUCCGGCUAACUCCGU
rnacentral:rRNA from 1 species